UGGGGAAUAUUGGACAAUGGGCGCAAGCCUGAUCCAGCCAUGCCGCGUGAGUGAAGAAGGCCCUAGGGUUGUAAAGCUCUUUCACCCGCGAAGAUGAUGACGGUAGCGGGAGAAGAAGCCCCGGCUAACUCCGUGCCAGCAGCCGCGGUAAUACGGAGGGGGCAAACGUUGCUCGGAAUGACUGGGCGUAAAGCGCGCGCAGGUGGCCCGUUAAGUCGGCUGUGAAAUCCCCUGGCUCAACCAGGGAAGUGCAGUCGAUACUGGCAGGCUUGAGUGCCGGAGAGGGUGGUAGAAUUCCCAGUGUAGAGGUGAAAUUCGUAGAUAUUGGGAGGAAUACCGGUGGCGAAGGCGACCGCCUGGACGGGUACUGACACUGAGGCGCGAAAGCGUGGGGAGCAAACAGGAUUAGAUACCCGCGUAGUCC
rnacentral:rRNA from 1 species